rnacentral:rRNA from 1 species
UACGUAGGGUGCGAGCGUUAAUUGGAAUUACUGGGCGUAAAGCGUGCGCAGGCGGCUUUGCAAGACAGAUGUGAAAUCCCCGGGCUCAACCUGGGAACUGCAUUUGUGACUGCAAGGCUAGAGUACGGCAGAGGGGGAUGGAAUUCCGCGUGUAGCAGUGAAAUGCGUAGAUAUGCGGAGGAACACCGAUGGCGAAGGCAAUCCCCUGGGCCUGCACUGACGCUCAUGCACGAAAGCGUGGGGAGCAAACAGG